UACGGAGGGUGCGAGCGUUGUCCGGAAUCACUGGGCGUAAAGGGCGCGUAGGCGGCCUGAUAAGUAGGGGGUGAAAUCCUGCGGCUUAACCGCAGGGCUGCCUUCUAAACUGUCAGGCUCGAGCACAGUAGAGGCAGGUGGAAUUCCCGGUGUAGCGGUGGAAUGCGUAGAGAUCGGGAAGAACAUCAGUGGCGAAGGCGGCCUGCUGGGCUGUUGCUGACGCUGAGGCGCGAAAGCCAGGGGAGCGAACGGG
rnacentral:rRNA from 1 species